GAAGAAGAAGCAGAAGAAGAAGAAGCAGAAGAAGAAGAAGAAGAUGGCGGCAAGGUUACUACUCCGUUCGGCUUUCAGAGCCGCUAGAACCUGCCGGGCCGCCCCGGUACCGGCUCUGACCCGCGGGAUGUCUGCUGGAGGUGAGCACAGAACCAUUAAACUCGUGUCAAUCGUAUUUAGUAAUGAUUUAUGAUCAAAAAAGCGCAUCAGGACCGAGCCGAGUUCAGGCGGAAGAACUACAAAAGCUAGCUUAAUGCUAAGAUUCUACACCGGUAACUGUGAGAGGUCACGAGAUGUUGUUUAAUAAAAUCAUAAUAUGUGUUUUUUUCUCGGACAGUCAUCGUGUUUAAGACCUUUUAUUUUUAUCUCAAAUAUCUGAUAUUACCUGAAAUCUGUCGUAUUGCUUUGUCGGGUGUAACCUGGUUAUUGUAGUUUGAAUAGUCGUGUCCAGGUUAUCUUACUCAUUUUGGUCCUUUUAUUUCUUGUUUUGUGUUUUCAGGUAUUCCCACUGAUGAGGAGCAGGCCACCGGGCUGGAGAAGAUCAUCAUGAAGGCCAUGAAGGAGGGGACGGUGAGAUCUUCUCUCUCUUUUUUCUUUCAGGUCAUAUUUACUCUGUUUAGAAGAUCCAGAAGAGACUGAGGGCUUCAUGGUGAAUUAUGAACAUCUGAAGGUGGUUUAGGGUUACUACAGGUCUGGUAUCAGCAAGUCUGUUAUCUGCAGUCAGCAGGCGUCACUCCUCAUAUAUCUCUGAGAACAUUCAGAUGAUUUUUAGAGGUUGGGAUCUGAAUAAUUGUCAAUAUGCUUGUGAAAAUAAGCUUCUCAUGAACGAUGACACCUGAGUGACACUUUCAUCACUUUGCUUGACUUCAUCUCCUCCUCAUCUUCCUCAGGACCCCUACAGCAUGAUGAGACCAAAGGAGUACGCCGGCUCCAAGGCGGACCCCCACCUGGUCCCCUCCAUCACUAACAAGAGGAUUGUGGGAUGUGUCUGUGAGUUUCUUCUUCAUUGGAGCUCCUUUAACCCUUGUGCAUAUCUUAAAAUUUACUUACAUUCGUUAACCUCGUGUACACAAAUGGUCCGUCUAAUAAAAGUGCAAUAAAAACGUGAUACAUGAAUUUUUUAUUACUUUUAAAGCAUCACAUCUUGUCAGCAACUUCAGAUCUAUCCAUAGAUAUAAAUUAUAUUAUAAUUUGUUAAUAUUUUUUUAGGUUUUUGUGUCUUGUCAUGAGAACUGCUGAUUUUUUUCAAUGGGAAAAACAUCUAAUAGGUGUAACGAUAUGAAAAUUUCCCAUCAUGAUUAUUGUGACCAAAAAGAUCACAGUUAUCAAUAUUAUCACAGUAUUGUUGAAAUAUGUUCAAAAUGUUUGAGGAGUACUUAUACACGCCCUGAAAUCAUUUAACAAAGUUUUAUUUUGGAAAAACAAUCAAAAUAACAGGCAGAAUUUGCUUUUCCUUAACCUUAAAUAACAGAGGAAUGAUAAGCUUAAAAAAGAUGGGGCCUUAAAAGAGCCAGAGGUAAUCAACACUAGUAACAACAAAGUACAAAGUAAUGUGCUAGUGGCAUAAACAUUAGCAUAAUAACAAAUAAAUAAAAUUUCAAUAAAAUGACAUUCAUUAUUGUGCAAACUGUAAGAAGUUCUACUCCUACAAAUAUAAAACAGAACAACACGACUAUAUGAAACAAAACAACCACGUAAACAGUGGUGAAGUUCAGGUGUUUAAAAAAACAUUAAAUAUCUAAACUAAUCAAAUGAGCUGAUUGUCUGUUUUCUGUACCAUAAGGUGCUGCUGCUGACUUUGUUCACUACUGGGAUGCAUAAAAGUUUUCUGGCAACUCUCGCAACCCUUUUGUAGAAGCUGAGAUCACCCAGACUUCAGACUUUGUUUUUUUUGACAGUGGAAAAAAUCUCUGCAACACGGUCGGCAGAACUGCCCUCCGCCAUGUUUACAAGUUCUUUACCGCGCAGUGAGCAUGUGUCUGAAGGACUGCUGCGUGCGGCUGCUCUUCUCAGCACUGAGCAGUAUCACUGUGAGCUUUUCCAGAGUGCGGCAAUCAAAUAUGGUUUUAACGGUAAUUAAAAAUUGAAACGAUAGUACUAAUCAUCAGACAUUUUACAGCGGUUUAUCAUUUUACCGGUAAUCGUUACAUUCUUAACACCAAAUAUGCAAUAUUGCCAAAAAUGAGGUGCAAAGUGAAAUAUUUUUUGAUAAAGAUAUAACAGCCUUGACCAUGUCAAUAACAGCUUUGUUAUUUCUAUGCAUUUUGCGAGGUAAGAAAUCCAGGCCUUCACUGGAAUUUCUCCGAAACGUUAUGUAAUGGGAGUCAUUGCACCUAAAACAUAUUUUCCUGAAAGUUUGAAGGUAAAAGCUAAGAUCUAUUAGGUAUAAAACAAAAAAGCAUUAUAAUAUGUUAGGAUUAUAACUUAUAACAAAUAUGUGAUUAUAAUGGGAGUCAAUGGGGCAAAUUUGGUCACAAGGUUAACAAGUGUCUGUGUGAUGCAAAUCUCCAAAUCUAAACACUUCCAAUGGAUAGGCUUUUGGAAUUAAGAAAGUAAAAACGAAAAAAAAUUAGUGACAAAAUCGAGAGGCAAACAAAUAAAAAAAAACAAAAUGUCACUUUUGGUCCCCAAGAUGCUCCAAGGAGUUAAAAACACUCUAAGACUCUGCAGCUGUCGGCUCAGGAGAUUUCGGAAACAUUAAAUCCUGUCGACAACAGACUGAGCGAGAUAAACAGACUUUUCUAUCACCAACAAACCGCAAAGAAAGAACUCAGAAAGUCUGUGAAGCUGAAGGAAAAAGUUCAGACACGUUUAAAUUCAUGUUCAUUCUAAACUGGAGGCUCAUGUUUUCACUGGUUUUCCUCCAGUUUUCUCUCACUGGUUCACUGUUUGCGUCUCUCACUCUGUUUCCUCUCUGCAGGUGAAGAAGACAACACGGCCGUGGUUUGGUUCUGGCUUCAUGAGGGCGAGGCCCAGCGCUGCCCAUCCUGUGGUUCCCACUACAAACUGGUUCCCCACGAGCUCCCCCACUAACUAACCAGUUACCAGAGAUGAUGUAGCUGUGUGUGAGUGUGAGAGUGUGUGUUAGUGUGUGUAAAGUAUUAUCUCCUCCCACCUUAAGACAUAUUAGUCUUUUAUUAAUUCUUCAUCUCCAGGAAGUUCAUUUCUUCCUGAGCUCCGCGGCUCAGUCUACUUCCUGGUCCUAGGUCAUGAUCUCUCGUCUGAUUGGUCCUUGACUUGCUUACCUCAACAGUCUUUUCUUUCCAUGUUACAAAGAACACAGGGAUCAGAUGUGGUUUGGGACACAAGAGUUUCUCUGAAACAUUUCCACUCAGCUGCAGUUUACAUUCACUCACAUUCUGUACUGUGUUACACAGGAACUUCUUUUACUCCAAUAAUAAAGUCAGCUCUGAUAUUUAUCUG